AAAUGCGAUAAGUAAUGUGAAUUGCAGAAUUCAGUGAAUCAUCGAAUCUUUGAACGCACCUUGCGCUCCUUGGUAUUCCUUGGAGCAUGCCUGUUUGAGUAUCAUGAAAUCUUCAAAGUAAAUCUUUUGUUAACUCAAUUGGUUUCUACUUUGGUAUUGGAGGUCUUUGCAGCUUCACACCUGCUCCUCUUUGUUCAUUAGCUGGAUCUCAGUGUUAUGCUUGGUUCCACUCGGCGUGAUAAGUUAUCUAUCGCUGAGGACACUGUAAAAGGUGGCCAAGGUAAAUGCAGAUGAACCGCUUCUAAUAGUCCAUUGACUUGGACAAUACUUUUAUGAUCUGAUCUCAAAUCAGGUAGGACUGCCCGCUGAACUUAAGC
rnacentral:misc_RNA from 1 species